UGCGUAGGUGGCCUUUUAAGUUGGAUGUGAAAUACCCGGGCUUAACCUGGGGGGUGCAUCUAAUACUGGGAGGCUAGAGUGCAGGAGAGGGAAGCGGAAUUCCUAGUGUAGCGGUGAAAUGCGUAGAUAUUAGGAGGAACACCAGUGGCGAAGGCGGCUUUCUGGACUGUAACUGACACUGAGGCACGAAAGCGUGGGGGAGCAAACA
rnacentral:rRNA from 1 species